ACACCUCAACUCUCAUGGUUUGCCAUGAUGAGCUUGGACUUUGGGGGACUUGCUGGCCUACAGUCAGCUCCCCUCAAAUAAAUCAGCUUUCCAGUAUUUGGCAGCAUCACAGGUGUGAUAAAUAUCUACAUUUGUGGUUUUCUGCCAGGUAACCUCCAGUGGUGGGGGUUUGCUGGGGCUCAUAAAUGUCUCUCCUUCAGUGAAGACAGCUUUGUGAAU
rnacentral:misc_RNA from 1 species